AUUGAACGCUGGCGGCAGGCCUAACACAUGCAAGUCGAGCGGAUGAAGGGAGCUUGCUCCUGGAUUCAGCGGCGGACGGGUGAGUAAUGCCUAGGAAUCUGCCUGGUAGUGGGGGAUAACGUCCGGAAACGGGCGCUAAUACCGCAUACGUCCUGAGGGAGAAAGUGGGGGAUCUUCGGACCUCACGCUAUCAGAUGAGCCUAGGUCGGAUUAGCUAGUUGGUGGGGUAAAGGCCUACCAAGGCGACGAUCCGUAACUGGUCUGAGGGGAUGAUCAGUCACACUGGAACUGAGACACGGUCCAGACUCCUAUGGGAGGCAGCAGUGGGGAAUAUUGGACAAAGGGCGAAAGCCUGAUCCAGCCAUGCCGCGUGUGUGAAGAAGGUCUUCGGAUUGUAAAGCACUUUAAGUUGGGAGGAAGGGCAGUAAGUUAAUACCUUGCUGUUUUGACGUUACCAACAGAGUAAGCACCGGCUAACUUCGUG
rnacentral:rRNA from 1 species